rnacentral:rRNA from 1 species
GACGAACGCUGGCGGCGUGCCUAAUACAUGCAAGUCGAACGCAUUGGGGACGGGUGAGUAACACGUGGGUAACCUCCCAUCAGAGGGGAUAACACUUGGAUACAGGCGCUUAACCGAUACUGAUGGAUGGUGCUGCGGUGCAUUCGCUGGUUGGUGAGGUAACGGCUUACCAAGGCCACGAUGCAUAGCCGACCUGAGAGGAUGAUCGGCCACACUGGGACUGAGACACGGCCCAGACUCCUACGGGAGGCAGCAGUAGGGAAUCUUCGGCAAUGGACGAAAGUCUGACCGAGCAACGCCGCGUGAGUGAAGAAGGUUUUCGGAUCGUAAAACUCUGUUGUUAGAGAAGCGGUAUCUAACCAGAAAGCCACGGCUAACUACGUGCCAGCAGCCGCGGUAAUAC